UUGAACGCUGGCGGCAGGCCUAACACAUGCAAGUCGAGCGGUAACACAGAGAGCUUGCUCUCGGGUGACGAGCGGCGGACGGGUGAGUAAUGUCUGGGAAACUGCCUGAUGGAGGGGGAUAACUACUGGAAACGGUAGCUAAUACCGCAUAACGUCGCAAGACCAAAGUGGGGGACCUUCGGGCCUCAUGCCAUCAGAUGUGCCCAGAUGGGAUUAGCUAGUAGGUGGGGUAACGGCUCACCUAGGCGACGAUCCCUAGCUGGUCUGAGAGGAUGACCAGCCACACUGGAACUGAGACACGGUCCAGACUCCUACGGGAGGCAGCAGUGGGGAAUAUUGCACAAUGGGCGCAAGCCUGAUGCAGCCAUGCCGCGUGUGUGAAGAAGGCCUUCGGGUUGUAAAGCACUUUCAGCGGGGAGGAAGGCGGUGAGGUUAAUAACCUCAUCGAUUGACGUUACCCGCAGAAGAAGCACCGGCUAACUCCGUGCCAGCAGCCGCGGUAAUACGGAGGGUGCAAGCGUUAAUCGGAAUUACUGGGCGUAAAGCGCACGCAGGCGGUCUGUCAAGUCGGAUGUGAAAUCCCCGGGCUCAACCUGGGAACUGCAUUCGAAACUGGCAGGCUAGAGUCUUGUAGAGGGGGGUAGAAUUCCAGGUGUAGCGGUGAAAUGCGUAGAGAUCUGGAGGAAUACCGGUGGCGAAGGCGGCCCACUGGACAAAGACUGACGCUCAGGUGCGAAAGCGUGGGGAGCAAACAGGAUUAGAUACCCUGGUAGUCCACGCCGUAAACGAUGUCGACUUGGAGGUUGUGCCCUUGAGGCGUGGCUUCCGGAGCUAACGCGUUAAAUCGACCGCCUGGGGAGUACGGCCGCAAGGUUAAAACUCAAAUGAAUUGACGGGGGCCCGCACAAGCGGUGGAGCAUGUGGUUUAAUUCGAUGCAACGCGAAGAACCUUACCUGGUCUUGACAUCCACAGAACUUUCCAGAGAUGGAUUGGUGCCUUCGGGAACUGUGAGACAGGUGCUGCAUGGCUGUCGUCAGCUCGUGUUGUGAAAUGUUGGGUUAAGUCCCGCAACGAGCGCAACCCUUAUCCUUUGUUGCCAGCGGUUCGGCCGGGAACUCAAAGGAGACUGCCAGUGAUAAACUGGAGGAAGGUGGGGAUGACGUCAAGUCAUCAUGGCCCUUACGACCAGGGCUACACACGUGCUACAAUGGCAUAUACAAAGAGAAGCGACCUCGCGAGAGCAAGCGGACCUCAUAAAGUAUGUCGUAGUCCGGAUUGGAGUCUGCAACUCGACUCCAUGAAGUCGGAAUCGCUAGUAAUCGUAGAUCAGAAUGCUACGGUGAAUACGUUCCCGGGCCUUGUACACACCGCCCGUCACACCAUGGGAGUGGGUUGCAAAAGAAGUAGGUAGCUUAACCUUCGGGAGGGCGCUUACCACUUUGUGAUUCAUGACUGGGGUG
rnacentral:rRNA from 1 species